GACGAACGCUGGCGGCGUGCCUAAUACAUGCAAGUCGAACGAGUGGCGGACGGGUGAGUAACACGUGGGAACCUACCCAUCAGAGGGGGAUAACUACUGGCAACGGUAGCUAAUACCGCAUACCAUCAGAUGUGCCCAGAGGGGAUUAGCUAGGUGGUGGGGUAACGGCUCACCAAGGCGACGCUCCCUAGCUGGUCUGAGAGGAUUAACAGCCACACGUGAACUGAGCCACGGUCCAGCCACCUACGGGAGGCAGCAGUGGGGAAUAUUGCACAAUGGGCGCAAGCCUGAUGCAGCCAUGCCGCGUGUAUGAAGAAGGCCGUCGGGUUGUAAAGUACUUUCAGCGGGGAGGCGUUACCCGCAGAAGAAGCACCGGCUAACUCCGUGCCAGCAGCCGCGGUAAUAC
rnacentral:rRNA from 1 species